rfam:Methanocella paludicola SANAE DNA, complete genome.
GCUCCGGUAGUGUAGACCGGCCAAUCAUGACGGACUCUCACUCCGUCGACUGGGGUUCGAAUCCCCACCGGAGCA